rnacentral:lncRNA from 1 species
GAGUUAUUUAUGAGUUAGUUAUGUAAAUUCAUGUCUUAAAUUUUUAACUCUUGAAAAUAUGAAUUAACAUUCCUACUAACUCAAAGGAUGUAUCACAGACAUAAUGUAUACAAUGUGAUAGUAGAAUAAUCUUUUUAUUCAUUUAUAGUCAAAAUUAUAAAUUUGCCCUUAUAUUUGUACAGGAAUAUGUCAGCCAAUCUGACAUCUAGGGCACACAUCUAACACAUACCUGGAGAACCUAAAGAAAUAUUGAUCUGUCUUUGGAAGGUAUGUCAAAUUGCUCAAAUCUAAUCUUACAGUUUUCUCUUUUUCAUUAAACUCCAGUACAUAUUACACAUUUUAGUAUAGGAUCUAAGGA